rnacentral:rRNA from 1 species
AAUCAACGCUGGCGGCGUGCCUCAGACAUGCAAGUCGAACGAUUAAAGCUCUCUUCGGAGAGUGCAUAAAGUGGCGCACGGGUGAGUAACACGUAAGUAAUCUACCUUCGAGUGGGGAAUAACGUCCGGAAACGGACGCUAAUACCGCAUAAUGCAGCGGCAUCGCAAGAUGACAGUUGUUAAAGAUUUAUCGCUUGAAGAGGAGCUUGCGGCAGAUUAGCUAGUUGGUAAGGUAAUGGCUUACCAAGGCUACGAUCUGUAACCGGUCUAAGAGGACGGUCGGUCACACUGACACUGAAUAACGGGUCAGACUCCUACGGGAGGCAGCAGUCGGGAAUUUUGGGCAAUGGGCGAAAGCCUGACCCAGCAACGCCGCGUGAAGGAUGAAGUAUUUCGGUAUGUAAACUUCGAAAGAAUGGGAAGAAUAAAUGACGGUACCAUUUAUAAGGUCCGGCUAACUACGUGCCAGCAGCCGCUGU